AUUGAACGCUGGCGGCAGGCCUAACACAUGCAAGUCGAGCGAGCGGCGGACGGGUGAGUAAUGUCUGGGGAACUGCACGCUAGAGGGGGAUAACUACUGGAAACGGUGGCUAAUACCGCAUACUAUCGGAUGUGCCCAUAUGGGAUUAGCUAGUAGGUGGGGUAAAGGCUCACCUAGGCGACGAUCCCUAGCUGGUCUGAGAGGAUGAACAGCCACACUGGAACGGAGACACGGUCCAGACUCCUACGGGAGGCAGCAGUGGGGAAUAUUGCACAAUGGGCGCAAGCCUGAUGCAGCCAUGCCGCGUGUAUGAAGAAGGCCUUCGGGUUGUAAAGUACUUUCAGCGGGGAGGCGUUACCCGCAGAAGAAGCACCGGCUAACUCCGUGCCAGCAGCCGCGGUAAUAC
rnacentral:rRNA from 1 species